GAAAUAUUGAUGAAUGGGAUAGUAAUUCGAACAGACAGUCGCAGCGAGCCGGGUCAGUGGAAGCCGGUACGGAUGUUACGAAUGAAACGGACCCAGGAAAUGGUUUGCCGAAAAUAAGUAGGUAAAUCCGGUCAGUCGACCGUUACGAAGCAGAGGGGUUAAACAAGAUGUUUAACACUUAGAGUGGUACCGCGGGAAUUUAUAGCUCUCGUCUCUUAG
rnacentral:ncRNA from 1 species